UGCCUUUGUGUGGUGGCCCACAGAGGCUUCCUAGUGAGACCUUACUCAAGGUCAGAGACUCUGGGCUCGCUUUACCCAGCAGGGCUGCAUAAUGGGAUGAUCUGGCCAGGGGCGUGGUUACCGGGUCUUUGGAAGGGUCUACACUUUGUACAUCUGUGCUUUGAUCUUGCAAGGGGGAGGUCUUUUGCCUCUCCCCUUGGUAUAUUAUAAAAAGCCCCUUUGAAUAAAGCUCUGGGUGGCUGGGUAU